rnacentral:rRNA from 1 species
UACGUAGGUGACAAAUGUUAUCCGGAAUUACUGGGCGUAAAGGGUCUGUAGGCGGUUUUUUAGGUCUGGUGUGACAUCUCGCGGCUUAACUGCGAGCGCGCACUGGAAACCGGAAGACUGGAAUCACGUCGAGGUCGGUGGAAUUCCCGGUGUAGUGGUGGAAUGCGUAGAGAUCGGGAGGAACCUCGAAAGCGAAGGCAGCCGGCUAGACGAUGAUUGACGCUGAGGGACGAUAGCGUGGGUAGCAAAC